GGCCCAAUGGUCUAGUAGUAUGAUACUCGCUUCGGGAGUUUUCCCGCGUAUUCGUUACGUAGAUUGUGAGUGGUCCCGGGUUCAAUUCCCGGUUGGGCCC